rnacentral:rRNA from 1 species
AGCGAACGCUGGCGGCAGGCCUAACACAUGCAAGUCGAACGGAUCCUUCGGGAUUAGUGGCGGACGGGUGAGUAACACGUGGGAACGUGCCCUUUGGUUCGGAACAACUCAGGGAAGCUUGAGCUAAUACCGGAUGUGCCCUUCGGGGGAAAGAUUUAUCGCCAUUGGAGCGGCCCGCGUCUGAUUAGCUAGUUGGUGAGGUAAAGGCUCACCAAGGCGACGAUCAGUAGCUGGUCUGAGAGGAUGAUCAGCCACAUUGGGACUGAGACACGGCCCAAACUCCUACGGGAGGCAGCAGUGGGGAAUCUUGCGCAAUGGGCGAAAGCCUGACGCAGCCAUGCCGCGUGAAUGAUGGAGGUCUUAGGAUUGUAAAAUUCUUUCACCGGGGACGAUAAUGACGGUACCCGGAGAAGAAGCCCCGGCUAACUUCGUGCCAGCCGCCGCAGUAAUAC